rnacentral:rRNA from 1 species
ACGCACGCUGGCGGCGUGCCUCAUCCAUGCCAUUAGCACGCUGAAGAGAGGAGCUUGCUCUUCUUGGAUGAGUUGCGAACGGGUGAGUAACGCGUAGGUAACCUGCCUUGUAGCGGGGGAUAACUAUUUGAAACGAUAGCUAAUACCGCAUAACAAUGGAUGACACCUGUCAUUUAUUUGAAAGGGGCAAUUGCUCCACUACAAGAUGGACCUGCGUUGUAUUAGCUAGUAGGUGAGGUAAUGGCUCACCUAGGCGACGAUACAUAGCCGACCUGAGAGGGUGAUCGGCCACACUGGGACUGAGACACGGCCCAGACUCCUACGGGAGGCAGCAGUAGGGAAUCUUCGGCAAUGGGGGCAACCCUGACCGAGCAACGCCGCGUGAGUGAAGAAGGUUGUCGGAUCGUAAAGCUCUGUUGUAAGUCAAGAACGGGUGUGAGAGUGGAAAGUUCACACUGUGACGGUAGCUUACCAGAAAGGGACGGCUAACUACGUG